GGGGCUGUAUUGAUUCGACAGGUUCAUAUUCGGAUAGAAUGCAAGUAGUAGGCAUACUAUAAAUGCAAAAACAAAAUAGUCGGAAACGAUUUUAAUUUCUCUCCAGCAUUUGCUUAAUUAAGUAAACUGCUGAAGCUUCCACUUAAACUUUUGUUCACGAGUUUAAGACUGGGAGUCAUAUAGUGAACUAUAUUAUAAAUAUGUUUGUGAUUUAUAAUGAAUAUUUAACAAACUUUGAAUAAUAAAAGAAGUUGGCAAUCUAUAUUAUUAUUUGAGUAUAAAAACCAACUAAACUUGUAGACGUUCUAUUAGGAUAGUUCUUGGACAGGAGUUCGCUACUCCUCAGCUCCACCA
rnacentral:tmRNA from 1 species